GCCACACCGGAGAGUCCCAUCGCUGGCGAGUUUCGGUUUUCUACAUUUUUUCGGCCAACCAAGGGCCCUAAGUGUAUUUUCUCGCAAGAACCGAUGCAAGUUUGGCUGAAUUCGACCGAAAACGGCCAAAAACGGCCAACCCGAGGUGGGACGGCGCCACCGCGCCGGAGCACGGUGGAGCCGCCGUGUCGAAUUUUUGAAAUUGGCCGAGUAAGGCCUAAGAUUGAUUUUGGAUUUAUUUAGGAUAUUUGUAGGUACUGUAAGC
rnacentral:lncRNA from 1 species